rnacentral:ncRNA from 1 species
GGCUGCCCUUUGCUACGGUGGUGGGGAACCCCGACGAGACGCGCCGUACCGGGUACGACAAGACGACGCACC